GCCGGGCAUGGUGGCAUAUGCCUGUAAUCCCAGCUACUGGGGAGGCUGAGGCAGGAGAAUUGCUUGAACCCAGGAGGCGGAGGUUGCAGUGAGCCUAGAUCAUGCCACUGCACUCCAGCCUGGGUGACAGAGUAAGACUCUGUCUCAA
rnacentral:SRP_RNA from 2 species